rnacentral:piRNA from 2 species
AGUGGUCUUUGUAAGAGUGUAGAAGC